AGUGAACGCUGGCGGUAGGCCUAACACAUGCAAGUCGAACGGCAGCACAGUAAGAGCUUGCUCUUACGGGUGGCGAGUGGCGGACGGGUGAGGAAUACAUCGGAAUCUACUUUUUCGUGGGGGAUAACGUAGGGAAACUUACGCUAAUACCGCAUACGACCUACGGGUGAAAGCAGGGGAUCUUCGGACCUUGCGCGAUUGAACGAGCCGAUGUCGGAUUAGCUAGUUGGCGGGGUAAAGGCCCACCAAGGCGACGAUCCGUAGCUGGUCUGAGAGGAUGAUCAGCCACACUGGAACUGGGACACGGUCCAGACUCCUACGUGAGGCAGCAGUCGGGAAUAUUGGACAAUAGGCGCAAGCCUGAUCCAGCCAUCCCGCGUGUGUGAAGAAGGCCUUCGGGUUGUAAAGCCCUUUUGUUGGGAAAGAAAAGCAGCAGGUUAAUACCCCGCUGUUCUGACGGUACCCAAAGAAUAAGCACCGGCUAACUUCGUG
rnacentral:rRNA from 1 species